rnacentral:tRNA from 1 species
UCCCUGGUGGCUCAGAUGGUAAAGCAUCUGCCUACAAUGCAGGAGACCCAGGUUCGAUUCCUGGGUGGGGAA